UAGUGCAAAAUGUCAUUAAAGAAACAUUAAAUAAACAAUAAUAAAUACAGGACAGGACAAAUACCAGGCCAGCAAUUACUGGUAAAAUCAUAACCCUCAGGAGAUAAUGACACAGGCAGGUCUAGUUAGAGUUAAGAUUCUGAAUGAAACUGCAUGAAAGAGGUUAGACUAUAGAUUUUAUAGAACAGGAUGCCGUUCUCUUAAGAAGUGCCGCCCUAUAAUCCACCCAUUUUUCAGAUGAUUAUCUACUGUCACUAGAAGAAUAUUUAGAAGAAUAUUUUUAAUGUAGGCCUACAUAAAUUUCUUCAUCAACACUUUGGUUUAUGUAGGCCUGUUGGUUAAAAUAUUUCAUAGCAAAACAGUUUCUUUCUAUUCCUCGAUGUGCCCAGGUUAUAACUAGGCAUCUUUGUCCCUUCAGACUUAGCCUUUCUUGCCCCCGGGGUAUUUUGAGCGGUCAGGUUAUCAAAAGUGAGACUCCACUAAUUUCUUUUUUUUUUUUCGAAGGGGUGUAACUGUAGCGGUCCGGUUGCUACGCGGCAGCCAUGUUGGAAUGUUCGAUUUACGAUGAGGGGGAACGAGGAGUAGGCGCGAGCAAACUGCCUGGCUCGCGGCGGCACAAAAAAGCGCACGCGCCGCACAUCAGCUUGAUCAAAGUGGGAAUUAAAUCACAGACUUCAGAGUGAUAUUGUCUUGAUAGGAGUUACAAGUCACCGAUCAGACGAAGGAAGUGGAAUAAAGCGAAGGGAGCAGGUGUGGACAGGCUGUGCAGGAGCAAGCGAGCUGUGCGUGUGGCACCUGGGUGACCUGAGCAGGCCCUUCAACAGGAUCCAGCUGCCUGAAUCCUCAGGUGUCAUCUGCAUGAUCAGGGUCAAGAACCAGAUCUGGGUGGGUUGCAACGGCCCUGGCGGGGGGAAGUCUCGUGGGAAGAUCUACGUGGUAGACACAGAGCGCCACCGAGUGGAAAAGGAGCUGAUGGCUCUGUGCUCGGCUGAAGACCGAUAUGUCCUC